rnacentral:hammerhead_ribozyme from 2 species
AUUGGCUGUUAUUAGCAGCUGAUGAGCUCCAAAACCAGCGAAACCACUUAGGUCCUGUAGUACUGGCCUAUAAAUGG